AUGAGUUGUUAAAACCUGCGUCUUGCAGCUCUUCUGCAAGAUUCUUAGACGCAGAGAGAUCCAAGGAGAAGUUGGUAAAGAGUUGACGGUCGAGAGACCACUCAUGUAGCACAGCUCUCGGAGUGGGCAUCCAUUUAAUCUAGUCAUUAUACCUGGUGGAACGCCUCUCCCAAUAUGAACCUACCCGUACACUGCGCUCAACAUCUAAGGCCCUCCUCCGAGUGCCAUCCCAUCGAGAAGCUCAGAGGGUGGUGACUAGAACUAGGGCCUUUUCAGUGGUGGCCCCUGAACUGUGGAACAGUCUUGCUGAUGAGGUGCGCCUGGCGCCGACGCUACUAUCUUUUCCAGGUGCUGCUUUACCACCAUUAUUUCUGUCUGGGUGCUGCUUCAUUCUCCAUCCAGGAUCACACACCAUCGAUGAACCUAUCAGAGAACACAGCAUGAAUGGGAUGAGAUCACAAUACUAGGAACACAAUACAAAAGGAGAAACCAGAGAUCCCAAAGCCCUCUCUGUUGUGUAGUCCAGGGACUGUUUGCUAAUGCAGAAAGAAAAGUUAUCGCUUCAGGCAAGCAAUGACUUGCUGGAAAUUUUGCUGCUGAAAAGG